CUUAUUGGCCAGCCUUCUGUGUCUGUCAAACGACAGGUGCCUGCUCUACCGGCGGGUAUGUGGGAUGCACUUAUCACGUGCUACACGCAUUGGAGGUGAGUGGUCUGCUUGUCAGUGCACUUUCUCAGGGUGUUCACCACGACCGGCAUUGCUGUCUGUCUACUUUGGUCAAACUGAUCAGGUCUGGUCAUUGCUAGGCUUGGUUGGGAUAGAAGGUAGCUCAUCUGUUCAUUUUAUGGACUAUGAGUGUAAUGAGCUGACCAUAGUGGAUCUGUACGGUAUGCUGGAGAUGACGGCUUUGCAUACGUGCUCUGUCCUUCGGACGGGAUUAAGUUCGGCCGACUUGUUACCAGCCUCUGUUGGUCCGUCGGUGGCUUGAUUUUGUUCUGUUGGCGGUUGCGUGUGUGACAUGGUAUGGGCCAAUAGUCUGUGGUGUUGUGGUAGACGAUCCACCUGACCCGUCUUGAAACACGGACCAAGGAGUUUAACAUGUACGCGAGUCAUUGGGUGUUACGAAACCCAAAGGCGAAGUGAAGGUAAAGGUUCGGCUUGUCCGGACUGAGGUGAGAUCCCGUUGUUUUGCCAAGUAAAUUUUCGAGAUGCGAGCAUCGGGCGCAUCACCGGCCCGUCCCAUGACGUAGACAUGUGACUUCGUGUCGUGUGCACCGUCGGGGCGGAGCAAGAGCGUACACGUUGAGACCCGAAAGAUGGUGAACUAUGCUUG
rnacentral:rRNA from 1 species